rnacentral:snoRNA from 1 species
ACACAAGCUCUUUACAGAGGUCAUCAUGUAGGAAAAGAGGUGGACAUGUGACAGAUGCUAAGGGAACCAGGUUUGCUACAGUGCCGUGUGACAGGAAUGCAUUAGCCUCAGAAGCUACUGAGGUGCCCAUCCUAUCCUGGAAUGGUG